CAAGUAGGCGGCUUGGUAAGUAGGGGGUGAAAUACUCCGGCUCAAUCGGAGAACUGCCUUCUAAACUGCCAGGCUUGAGUAUGACAGAGGAAUAUGGAAUUCUCGGUGUAAGGGUGAAAUCUGUAGAUAUCGAGAAGAACACCAGCGGCGAAGGCGAUAUUCUGGGUCAUUACUGACGCUAAAUUGCGAAAGCUAGGGGAGCAAACAGAAUUAGAUACUCUGGUAGUCCUAGCCGUAAACGAUGAGCACUAGAUGUCGGUCCCUUUAGGGGUCGGUGUCGCAGCUAACGCAUUAAGUGCUCCACCUGGGGACUACGGUCGCAAGGCUAAA
rnacentral:rRNA from 1 species